CCCUUAGAAGUUCUGGGCCGCACGCGUGCUACACUGAGUGGAUCAGCGGGUCAGGUUGCGCGAAAGCGUUUCCUAAUCUUGAAAUCCGCUCGUGAUGGGGAUUGACGGUUGCAAUUUUCUGUCAUGAACGAGGAAUACCUUGUAAGCGCGAGUCAUCAUCCCGCGCUGAAUACGUCCCUGCCCUUUGUACACACCGCCCGUCGCUCCUACCGAUUGAGUGGUCCGGUGAGGCUUUGGGAUCUGAGCGGAAAGAGCGUUUCGCUCGUUCUGCCCGGAAAACUCAGUCGAACCUUAUCAUUUAGAGGAAGGAGAAGUCGUAACA
rnacentral:rRNA from 1 species